AAAAUAGCCUCUCCGGACGAGAUGCGCCGUACCCGGUUAAGACAAGACGACGCCUU
rnacentral:ncRNA from 1 species